rnacentral:lncRNA from 1 species
AACCCGGCCCUGCACAAGACACGGCAAUUGCCAUUGUGAACCAUGACGAGAAGCAUCCCACGUUAGUCAAGUUUGACUACACCAAUAAUAAGAACUGCGUCGUUGCAAAUUUCCCAUACAAGGGCGAAGUAUGCAUACUGUGGGUCCCAAAAGCAUACGUGUCAUCGUUUCCACAAGAAUGCGUCGAUCAGUUUGAAGACAUAUGCGACGCGGAAGUUCCAGCCUACCAAGAGGGCCUGUGUGACGACGCUCUCGGCGAUGAAUAAAAAUAUACGCACGUCCUGUACGCUCCA